rnacentral:rRNA from 1 species
AGAGUUUGAUCCUGGCUCAGAUUGAACGCUGGCGGCAUGCCUUACACAUGCAAGUCGAACGGCAGCACGGGGGCAACCCUGGUGGCGAGUGGCGAACGGGUGAGUAAUACAUCGGAACGUGUCCUGUAGUGGGGGAUAGCCCGGCGAAAGCCGGAUUAAUACCGCAUACGCUCUACGGAGGAAAGGGGGGGAUCGCAAGACCUCCCGCUACAGGGGCGGCCGAUGGCAGAUUAGCUAGUUGGUGGGGUAAAGGCCUACCAAGGCGACGAUCUGUAGCUGGUCUGAGAGGACGACCAGCCACACUGGGACUGAGACACGGCCCAGACUCCUACGGGAGGCAGCAGUGGGGAAUUUUGGACAAUGGGGGAAACCCUGAUCCAGCAAUGCCGCGUGUGUGAAGUAGGCCUUCGGGUUGUAAAGCACUUUUGUCCGGAAAGAAAUCCUGUGGGCUAAUACCCUGUGGGGAUGACGGUACCGGAAGAAUAAGCACCGGCUAACUACGUGCCAGCAGCCGCGGUAAUACGUAGGGUGCAAGCGUUAAUCGGAAUUACUGGGCGUAAAGCGUGCGCAGGCGGUCCGCUAAGACAGAUGUGAAAUCCCCGGGCUUAACCUGGGAACUGCAUUUGUGACUGGCGGGCUAGAGUAUGGCAGAGGGGGGUAGAAUUCCACGUAGCAGUGAAAUGCGUAGAGAUGUGGAGGAAUACCGAUGGCGAAGGCAGCCCCCUGGGCCAAUACUGACGCUCAUGCACGAAAGCGUGGGGAGCAAACAGGAUUAGAUACCCUAGUAGUCC